AGAGGGGAUCUUAGCUGAGAGUUUCUCCCAGAAUGCAAUGUGACCCUCAUUGCCACAUGGCGCUGUGGGAAUCCUGAGGGGGUAUGGAAUUGCUGACAGUACCAGGCUGAGCGAUGGGCACAGACACGAGCACAAAGAUGGAUGUCUCUGAUGAUUGGCGGUAUUUCUGGCUUUUUUUUGUACUUGAAGGGAGGGGCUGCUGAUGGCCUGUCAUGCUCUAAGUUUUACACAUUGUUUGAUCCAAAUGACACUUUAUCUUGAGUUUCGAAGUCCAUGUAUUAGUCCGUUUAGCAUGUGAUCUUCAUGGAGAUGGAGUUGGAACUUGGAAACUGAACUUUUAAGCCAACAUGGAGGAGAAGGCCUUAAAGUGCUCUGAUUUGAAGAUCAACAUUUCCACGACAACCAGACAAACUUCUGAAGAAAAUCAUGCAAAAUGAUCGAAAGCUCCAGACAGCUACUUGAUGGACCUUGAGUGUUGACCUCAGUGAAGAUGCAGAAGACAGAAGACUUGUGAAAGCAACAGGUUCGUUGUCAUGUUAUCCACAGAGGAGUUCGACAAUAACCUUAGAAGGAUGGACAACUGUGCUGACUCACUGAUGUUGUUAUCCUCGACAUCUGGGACAUUAAAGAGGCAGUUAUGCCGGGUUGAAAAUAAAAGUCAUGAUGCAGAUUUCUGCUUCUAAAUAAA